ensembl:lincRNA
AUGAGCCAGGCACUGAUCCACAGGCUUUUGUACUCAACUCUGACAACAACCCUAAGAGGUAGCUAUCAUUAUAUCCCCCAUUUUAUUAAGAAGAAAACAAUAGCACAGAGAAGGGCUCAGGAGGCGGGGCCAGGGCGGGGCGUUGACUAUGUCGUAGCACGUGACCAGGCGGUGCUCGGACUCUGGGAGGCAGAGCUUAGGGCGGGCCGAUGUGGGGAGGGGCCCAGGGUCCGGGAGGCGGGUCCGAGUCUGGGCUGCGGGCUGCGCUCAGGAGGCGGGCCCUGGGGUAUGGCCAGGCGGUUAUUGCUGUGCUUUUAGACAGAAUCAACGGUUUCUGGGUCUGAGAUAUUGCAUAUACCCUCUCAGUCCCUGUAUCCUGAGAUGGAGUCACCUGAGAAUCCACAGCAAGUCCUAACCAGGGAUGGGUCUGCGUGGUUAAGGAAGGUUGGCUUCAGAACUGGGCCAGGGGCACUGCUUUGCUUUUGCUGUUUUGAUCAGCUCUCUGCCUGCAGGAGACAAGGAAAACCAAUGGGAACAGGUUAGUUACNNNNNNNNNNNNNNNNNNNNNNNNNNNNNNNNNNNNNNNNNNNNNNNNNNNNNNNNNNNNNNNNNNNNNNNNNNNNNNNNNNNNNNNNNNNNNNNNNNNNAAAAAAAAAAAAAAAAAAAAAAAGGAGACCCAAAUAAAUACAUUCAGAAAUGAAAAAGGAGACAUUACAACUGUUACCAAAGAAAUAAAAAGGAUCAUUAGAGGGUAUCAUGAACAACCAUAUGCUAACAAAUUGGAAAACCUAGAGGAAAGGGAUAAAUUCCCAGACAUACAGAGCCUACCAAGAUUGAACUAGGAAGAAACAGAAAACCUGAACUGACCCAAAAUGAAUAGCAGGUUUGAAUCAGUAACAAAAAGUCUCCCAAAAGAGAAAAGCCCUAGACUAGUCUUUUAUGCUGAUUUCUACCCAAUUUAUAAAGAAAAACAAACAACAGUUCUUCUCAAAUUAUCCCAAAAAUUGAAGAGGAGGGAAUUCUUCCUAACUCAUUGUAUAAGGCCAGCAUUACCCUGAUAUCCAAUCAAGACAAGAACACAACACAAAGAGAAAACUACAGGCCAAUAUUCCUAAUGAACACAGAUGGAAAAAUUCUCAGCAUAAUACUACCAAGCCAAAUCUAAUGGUGAAUGAAAAAGAUAAAAUACCAUGAUCAAGUGGGAUUUAUCCCAGGAAUGCAAAGAUGGCUCAACAUACACAAAUCAAUACAUGUGAUACAUCACAUCAACAAGAUGAAAGGCAAAAACUAUCUGAUCAUCUCAGCAGAUGCAGAAAAAUCACUCAGUAAAACUUACCAUUCCUUCAUGAUGAAAACUCUCAACAAAUUAUGCAUAGAAGGAACACUUCAACAUAAGAAAAGGCAUACAUGACAAAUCUACUGCUAACAUCCUACUCACUGGGAAAAAUUGAAAAGCCUUUCCUCUAAGAACUGGAACAAGACAAGGAUGCCCGCUUUCACCACUCUUAUUCAACACAGUAUGGGACAUCCAAGCCAGAGUGAUCAGACAAGAUAAAGAAAUAAAAGGCAUCCAAAAUGGACAAGAGGAAGUCAAAUUGUCUCACUUUGCAGAUGACAUAAUCUUAUAUUUGUAAACAGGAAAACCUAAAGACUCCACCAAAAACCUCUGAAAAUGGAUAAAUUAGGCUGGACAUGGUAGUUCAUGCCUGUAAUCCCAGCACUUUGGGAGGCCAAGGUGGGCAGAUCACCUGAGGUUGGGAGUUUGAGACCAGCCUGGACAACAUGGUGAAACCCUGUCUCUACUAAAAAUACAGUUAGCCAGGCAUGCUGGUAGGUGCCUAUAAUCCCAGCACCACUGCACUCCAGCCUGGGCAACAGAGUGAGACUCUAUCUCAAAAAAGAAAAAAGAAAAAAAAAAUUUAAAAACGGAUGUAUAAUUCAGUAAAGCUUCAGGACACAAAAUCAACAUACAAAAAUCAGUAAUAUUUCUAUAUACCAGUAACAAACUAGCUAAAAUAGAAAUCAAGGAAGAAAUUCUAUUUACAAUAGCUACAAAAAUAAAAUACCUAGGAAUAAACUUAACCAAGGAUGGGGAAAAAAAACCCAAAAAACAUCUACAAUGACAACCACAAGACACUGAUAAAAUAAAUUGAGAAGGACUUGAACAAAUGGAAAGGCAUCUCAUGCUCGUGGGUUGGAAUAACUAAUACUGUUAAAAUGACCAUGCUACCCGAAGCAAUCUAGAGAUUCAGUACAAUCCCUAUCAAUUAUAUUCUUUACAGAAACAGGAAAAAAAAACCCUGAAAUUCAUAUGGAACCACAGAAGACCCCAAAUAGGCAAAGCAAUACUGUGCAAAAAGAACAAAGCUAGAAGCCUCACACUACCUGAUUUAAAAAUAUACUGCAAAGCGGCCGGGUGCGGUGGCUCAUGCCUGUAAUCCCAGCACUUUGGGAGGCCGAGGCGGGUGGAUCACAAAGUCAGGAGAUCGAGACCAUCCUGGCUAACACGGUGGAGCCCCGUGCCCACAAAAAAACAAAACAAAACAAACAAACAAAAAAAAACGCCAGGUGUGGUGGUGGGCACCUGUAGUCCCAGCUACUCAGGAGGCUGAGGCAGGAGAAUGGCAUGAACCUGGGAGGCAGAGCUUACAGUGAGCCAAGAUCGUGCCACUGCACUCCAGACUGGGUGACAGAGCAAGACUCCGUCUCAAAAAAAAAAAAAAAAUAUAUAUAUAUAUAUAUAUUUAUAUAUUUAUAUAUUUAUAAAUUUAUAUAUAUAAAUUUAUAUAUUUAUAAAUUUAUAUAUA